GAUUAACGCUGGCGGCGUGCCUAACACAUGCAAGUCGAACGAGGUAGCAAUACCUAGUGGCAGACGGGUGAGUAACGCGUGGUCAACCUACCGUUGAGUGGGGGAUAACUAGCCGAAAGGUUAGCUAAUACCGCAUACGUCUCCGAGGGGCAUCCCUUGGCGAUAAAGGGAGCAAUCCGCUCGAUGACGGGACCGCGUCCCAUUAGCUAGAUGGUGGGGUAACGCCUACCAUGGCACCGAUGGGUAGCUGGUUUGAGAGAGCGACCAGCCACACUGGGACUGAGAAACGGCCCAGACUCCUACGGGAGGCAGCAGUGAGGAAUUUUCCGCAAUGGGCGCAAGCCUGACGGAGCGACGCCGCGUGUGGGAAGAAGGCCUCGGUCGUAACC
rnacentral:rRNA from 1 species